AUGGCAUCCAGGCAGGGCACAAAGGCAAAAUUGUUCCGUGAAUUUACAAGAGUUAUUUAACUUGAGUUUAGAUGCAGGAUGUUGGUGGGGUGUUGAAGCCCCCUUAGAAUUCCUCCCGAGUUUAUUGAUCCAGGUCAACCAAUAUAUUUAAUAAUAAAUAUAUUAAAAACCAUAAAUAGGCUGCCAAUAAAUCUAGAGAAGAGCUUUCUGGAGACUAGAGAUGGCGUUCUGAUUUUUGCCAUAAAAUGCUGGCAUAUGGUAGUAGCAAUUGAGAAACAUCUGGUAUUGUACAUUUUCUCAGAGCUGACGUAGCUGCAGAAUUACAUAAUAGCAUAGCUUCUUACAAUUUUCAAACACCUGUCUGUAAUCACACCAAAAUAGUGGCAAAAGGGGCACCUUGUUGGAGUCGGUACCUUGUGCUGGAUCUGACUGGCUUCCAAGGGUUCUAUCAUUAUGAUUGGCUAAAGUCUAAACUUACCCAUUUUUGCAGGGGAUUUAUAUUCAGAAAGAUGAAUUGCCUUGAUGACUGCGCAUCAGAACAUCUGGGUGGAACAAAACCUCUGGCCCCGAAGGACAAGAAUAUCAAUUCUUCUUUGGAAAAACAAAGUGCUAUUAAAAACAAACAAACCAAAAUUAAUGUGCUGUUUAAAACAACACUGAAAGUUCAAGAAGGAAAACAAGAAUAUUCGAAUGAUCAACAUGCCAAGAAUUUAGAUUGUUUUAUCUCUUCUGUUAAAGAAGGUGAUGCAGAGGACAAAGUGGGGGGAUCUGAGAUCCCGACCCCAGACAAUAAUUGUUUAAACAACUCAUUUAUUGACCUUACUGAUAUUUGGGAAGACAUGGAAGAUUUUGAAACAACUGGACCACAGAAAAUAUGUCCAAAACUGUCUGUAUCAUUUCGAGAUAAGCUGUCUGUAAACAAUGGAAAGACUGCAAAAAAACCCUCUAUCAGCAAGUCAAAGAUAUCUAGCACAGGAAGAGAUAAUGAAAAAUGUGAUGAUGUGUAUAUUUGUACAAAUAGGAAAACACAAACACUUCGUGAGGAACAAGAGGGAGGCAGCCUGCCUGUUCCUCGUCUUGAUUCUUCUAAUUCCAGUCAGAGAGAUUUUUCAAAUGGAGAACAUGAAGAGGAGAAAUCUUUGGAAACUUUCCAGACAGAGAAAAAAGAAAAAUCUUGGAUUGGGCAAAAUGAUUCUGGCCUCCCCUUAAGUGGGAAUGAAGAGCCCGAUGAUGGAAGGGACGACCCUCCAGUGUUCAGUGAGUCUGAGGACUAUGUGGACUUCAUACCCCCAUCCCCAGAAGAGGAGAUGCUGCCUGCUUUGUUCGGGCUGAAGAGCACUAGGUACACGGGAAUUUAUCUUAAGGGU
rnacentral:lncRNA from 1 species